CACGUAGGGUGCGAGCGUUGUCCGGAAUUAUUGGGCGUAAAGAGCUCGUAGGCGGUGUGUCGCGUCGGCCGUGAAAACCUGCAGCUUAACUGUGGGCUUGCGGUCGAUACGGGCAUCACUGGAGUUCGGCAGGGGAGACUGGAAUUCCUGGUGUAGCGGUGAAAUGCGCAGAUAUCAGGAGGAACACCGGUGGCGAAGGCGGGCAUCUGGGCCAACACUGACGCUGAGGCGCGAAAGCUAGGGGAGCGAACGGG
rnacentral:rRNA from 1 species